rnacentral:rRNA from 1 species
UACGUAGGGGGCAAGCGUUGUCCGGAAUCAUUGGGCGUAAAGCGCGCGUAGGUGGCCUCAUAAGUCCGCUGUGAAAGUCCAAGGCUCAACCUUGGAAAGCCGGUGGAUACUGUGAGGCUAGAGUACGGAAGAGGCGAGUGGAAUUCCUGGUGUAGCGGUGGAAUGCGCAGAUAUCAGGAGGAACACCAAUAGCGAAGGCAGCUCGCUGGGACGUUACUGACACUGAGGCGCGAAAGCGUGGGGAGCGAACAGG